rnacentral:rRNA from 1 species
AAAAACAGAGAGAAGCGAAUUCCCCUUCCACAGAGUGUCUCUCCCGUGAGGGCAUCGAUCGAUCGAAAUUUCCUCGAGCUCUUCCACAUUUUUCCUUCUCCCCUUCCCUAGGGCUUCCCCAGCCGCCGCCCGCACACAGACAGAGACGCUCGUCGCUCCGACUUACGCCCUCGACCUCCGCCACCGACCCCAGCCUCCGGACGGCGAGCGUCGCUUCGAUUCGGCCAUGCCUCUGGAGGUGUCCGAUGUUAACCUGGACCAACCAGACCUUUCGGAGGUACCAUGGGAGACGAGGCUCGCUCUGGCUGAACGGCCUUGUCCGUUGGUGGUGAACCCCGAACAGAGGGCCCUUAUUGAGCCAGCUAUGAAAAAUCUAGACAAGUAUAUGGAAGAAAUCAGAGAGUAUUGGAAGAAGAUCGAUGAGCUAAAUGCAACCCUUCCUGAGAAGGAUCAGUUCUUCACUGUUUCUAUUCAACCUCGAUGUCCAGAACCAGCUUCCUUUUUCACGUACUACCGACUCUAUGCAUUGGACAACACCAAUCCAACUCCCCUUACAAGCAAACGAUUCACAGCGCCAAGAAAAGACUACCCGGUAUUGACUAUGCUCCAAAUAUUCUCAUUCAGAUAUGUUGGCGACUUCCUGGGUGAUCAGAGCAUGCUAGUAUAUGGAUUCAUUGCUAUCCGGGAUGAGUUGGAUUGUCUGCGCAAUUACAUCUUCAACUGUACUAGAGAGCAGGCGCACGAGAUUACACCGGAUUCCCGGGCAUUGCCGCUCAUAUCUCCUGUUCGUGGGAACUCUAUUCUUGAUGGUGUUGUUCUUGAGUACAGCCUGAAGGUCAAGUCUAAUGGCAGUGACAACGCUGAGAUGGAUUAUGUAUUAGCUGAUGGUUGCAUUGAAUACACAGAUCAUAUGAUUCUGCGUGGUACUACACUGAAGUCGAGGCUUUUUGGCAAGCUUGGCCCUGUUGACUUCCAUUAUGCUUUCCUUAGGCAGGGCAUUGAAGCAACAAUUGACAUUGAGAUUCCAAUGGCUAGUCCAGCUUGGGGCCUGAAGGCAGUGACUGCUUUUACAAGUGGACUCUCAGAUGCAAUUGUGCUGUAUGAUGGGUCUACUAAUUCCUCUCCUACACAAUCAGUGUUCCCUAUAUCAUCAGUUGUUGCUGUUCAAUUGGGUCAUGAGCUAAAGCUUAAAUUUGACAUCACCUCCAAGGAUAUUGUGCCCAAGGGGUGUGCGAGGAGGUUCGUGCCCCAGAAGGCAGCGUCGGCGCAAUACCAAAGGCCUGAUGUUGUGAUGGAUGGAGAGGCGGAACCAAAGACAUAUUCCCGCUUCCUCACAUUCAUUUCACAGAAAUGUUCAUUUGACAGUGGUAAAGUCUCGAUCGGUGAUAAGUUCAAAGCUGAGGUUACAGUGACCUGGUCCACCAUGGGGCCGUAUUGAUCGGUGUUGCCUGACUGCGGUGAAUCAUGCCAGUUGCUUGAUUGUGUGGAGUGGAAACGGCAGAUAUCCUUCUUCGUGUUAGUCAUUAGUCAUCACUUGGCAGAUGGAUCACACUUUAAUUCAAUGUACCGUGCGCCAUUUGGAGUACUCUGAUCCGGCCUUUUGGAUAUAUGUUGUUCAGGUGACUGUUGAUUUGUUAUUCCUUUCCAAGAACUGUCUCUUUGCUUUGACUGGUUCUCACUCUCCUGGACGUUGAAAUCAAACUGAGAAGGGUUGAUUUUCUUCUUUUGAGUUGGAGAAGGUUUGAAUUCAAGGGUGUCUUAGUGUCUGUUUUUAGGCGAUGGAGUUAGCUGCUUCAUAUGGAAGUUAACGAUGACCCCUUUCGUAUCUAUUCUGGCUUGCUGCCAAUAUGAGGCGUUGUCUGGAGAUUGAUAGAUCAUGGAUAAGAAUCAUGUCCAUGUCGCCCUUUCGCAUUGAGGUUGAACCAUGAUAGAGUCGAUCAUGAUUUAGAUGGACUAGAGAGGCAGAUACCAUUGCCGAUACCGUCGCUCUUCUCAAUGUCCCCUUCAACUUUUUUUUAGAAAAGAGGCGCUUGCCUGGCUUUAUAAACGAACCGUACAAUUUCUUAUGUGACUUGCGUUCAGUUGGCAUACGCUUAUUUCCUGUACUCAGUAUCCGAGCUAAACUGAUUUCUAUGUUGGACUUGUGAGUUUUGUUUAGAUGGUUCAUGGAUCUAGUACUCAAAACUUGUGUCAUAUUGUACUCUCUGGCAAGUAAACUUUGGUGAUGCUUAUCCACGCCUUGCGGAC